rnacentral:rRNA from 1 species
GACGAAUGCUGACGGCGUGCCUAAUACAUGCACGUCGAACGCAGUGGGGACGGGUGAGUAACACGUGGGUAACCUCCCAUCAGAGGGGAUAACACUUGGAAACAGGUGCUAAACCGAUACUGAUGGAUGGACCCGCGGUGCAUUAGCUUGUUGGUGAGGUAACGGCUCACCACGGCCACGAUGCAUAGCCGACCUGAGAGGGUGGUCGGUCAAAAGGGGACGUAGACACGGCCCAGACUCCGACGGGAGGCAGCAGUAGGGAAUCGUCGGCAAUGGACGAAAGGCUGACCGAGCAACACCGCGUGAGUGAAGAAGGUUGUCGGAUCGUAAAACUCUGUUGUUAGAGAAGCGGUAUCUAACCAGAAAGCCACGGCUAACUACGGGCCAGCAGCCGCGGUAAUAC